AGGAGAAUGAAGACAGGCCCCGAGGAGAAUAAAGACAGGCCCCGAGGAGAAUGAGGGCAGGCCCUGAGGAGAAUGAGGACAGGUCCCGAGGAGAAUAAAGACAGGCCCCGAGGAGAAUAAAGACAGGCCCCGAGGAGAAUGAAGACAGGCCCCGAGGAGAAUGAAGACAGGCCCCGAGGAGAAUGAAGACAGGCCCCGAGGAGAAUGAAGACAGGCCCAGAGGAGAAUAAAGACAGGCCCCGAGGAGAAUAAAGACAGGCCCCGAGGAGAAUGAAGACAGGCCCCGAGGAGAAUAAAGACAGGCCCUGAGGAGAAUAAAGACAGGCCCCGAGGAGAAUAAAGACAGGCCCUG
ensembl:lncRNA